UAGAGGAAGUAAAAGUCGUAACAAGGUUUCCGUAGGUGAACCUGCGGAAGGAUCAUUAAUGAAUAGGUCUUUUAGACCCAAUUCUAUCCCACACCUUUGUGAACUGUAUUGGUUACUUUGGCGGGGUCGCUGUUUUAUGCGCCCACUUUAGGGAAUCCCCGCCAAGGUCUUUGCAAACUUUAGUUUAAAAUGUUAGAAAGUUAUUUAUUAAAUCUAUACAACUUUUAGCAACGGAUCUCUUGGCUCUCGCAUCGAUGAAGAACGCAGCGAAAUGCGAUACGUAGUGUGAAUUGCAGAAUCCAGUGAACCAUCGAAUCUUUGAACGCAUAUUGCACCUAUUGGUAUUCCGAUAGGUAUGCCUAUUUGAGUGUUAUGAACUACUCAUCCAAAUCCUUUGGAUGGUCUUGAGCUUGCGUUGGCUAGCUCGAAAUUAAUAGGGUAAACGACUACCAUGUCUAUCGUCAUAUUUAUUUGCGAUAUAUUCAUUGGUUAUUAGUGACCCAUAAUAAUUUUUAAAUCUUAGCCUCAAAUUAGGUAGGAAUACCCGCUGAACUUAAGCAUAUCAAUAAGCGGAGGAAAAGAAAAUAACAAUGAUUCCCUUAGUAACGGCGAGUGAAGCGGGAAGAGCUCAAAUUUGAAAUCUGGCACCUUUGGUGUCCGAGUUGUAAUUUCUAGAGGUGUUUUCAGUGCUUAGCUAGGUAUAAAUCCUUUGGAACAG
rnacentral:rRNA from 1 species